rnacentral:rRNA from 1 species
GACGAACGCUGGCGGCAGGCUUAACACAUGCAAGUCGAACGCAUCGCAAGAUGAGUGGCAGACGGGUGAGUAACGCGUGGGAACCUACCCUUUACUACGGAAUAACUCAGGGAAACUUGUGCUAAUACCGUAUGUGCCCUAUGGGGGAAAGAUUUAUCGGUAAAGGAUGGGCCCGCGUUGGAUUAGCUAGUUGGUGGGGUAAAGGCCUACCAAGGCGACGAUCCAUAGCUGGUCUGAGAGGAUGAUCAGCCACAUUGGGACUGAGACACGGCCCAAACUCCUACGGGAGGCAGCAGUGGGGAAUAUUGGACAAUGGGCGCAAGCCUGAUCCAGCCAUGCCGCGUGAGUGAUGAAGGUCUUAGGAUUGUAAAGCUCUUUCACCGAUGAAGAUAAUGACGGUAGUCGGAGAAGAAGCCCCGGCUAACUUCGUGCCAGCCGCCGCCGUAA